AGAAGCUNUCUAUAAAAUAUUUUUAUGAACUUGGUUAGUAAGUGAAAAAACUUACAGAAUUCAAAUAGACGAGAAGACCCUAGAAAUUUUAAUACGUACAGCAUUUUUGUUGGGGCGACAGAGUUACAUAGAACUAACUUUAAAGAACAUGAAACAGAGGCGAUAGAUAAAAUUACUCUAGGGAUAACAGCAUAAUUUUAUUAGUUUAUGACCUCGAUGUUGGACUAGGGACGGUAUACUUUAGAAGAGUGUACUGUAUGCUCUGUUCGAGCAGCAAUACCUACAUGAUCUGAGUUCAAAUCGA
rnacentral:rRNA from 1 species